UGAAAGAGAUCAUUYUCAGUAACUCCUGCUCAAUGAAAUUUUAAUAGCCGCAGUCACCUGUGCUAAGGUAGCAUAAUCAUUUGCCUAAUAAUUAUAGGAUAGAAUGAAAGGAAGUACAUGUAGACUUCUUUAUUAAAAAAAUUUUUUUAAUUUCACUAAUAAGUAAAAAGUUCUUAUUUUUCAAAGGAGGACGACAAGACCCUAUCAAACUUCACAAUUAUGUUUAGCUGGGGCGGCAAAAAACUAAACCUUUUCUUAAAAAUUUUUAAUACUAACCUAAUUUUUGAUAUUACUAAUGUUACUGUAGGGAUAACAGCAUUAUUUCUCCUAAAAGAUCUUAUAAAAGGGGAAGUUUUUGACCUCGAUGUUGAAUUAAUAUCCUUUUAGGAGCAACCUCUUAAAAAGAGAGUCUGUUCGACUUUUAAAUAAUU
rnacentral:rRNA from 1 species